rnacentral:rRNA from 1 species
AACGAACGCUGGCGGCGCGCCUAAUACAUGCAAGUCGAACGAGAAGCUGUAGCAAUACAGUUGCACAGUGGCGAACGGGUGAGGAAUACAUGGGUGACCUACCCUCGAGUGGGGAAUAACCAGCCGAAAGGUUGGCUAAUACCGCGUACGCUUCCCAGUCUACGGGUUGGGAAGGAAAGCGAUGCCGUGGGUAUCGCGCUCAAGGUUGGGCUCAUGUCCUAUCAGCUUGUUGGUGGGGUAACGGCUCACCAAGGCAACGACGGGUAGCUGGUCUGAGAGGACGAUCAGCCACACUGGCACUGCGACACGGGGCCAGACUCCUACGGGAGGCAGCAGUAAGGAAUAUUGCGCAAUGGGCGAAAGCCUGACGCAGCGACGCCGCGUGGGGGAUGAAGGUCUUCGGAUUGUAAACCCCUUUCGGGAGGGAAGAUGGAACGAGCAAUCGUUCGGACGGUACCUCCAGAAGCAGCCACGGCUAACUUCGUGCCAGCAGCCGC